UAAUCUGUCUAUGAUAUAUCCUCAUCUAGUUAUGAUAGAUUCACACCAGAUAAUUUAAAAUCACAUGUUAUCACAUGGCCAACUAAAUCACACAUCAUGAGAAAAAAUAAAUCAACAUAUGGAAAUACCUCAUCAGAUA
rfam:Populus trichocarpa isolate Nisqually-1 chromosome 8, whole genome shotgun sequence.